CCCAUAUCACAUAGAAUUUGAAAUUCCUAUUCCUCCCUUUCCAUAUUUCCAUGGAUUCUCAGAGGAUGGACACUUCUUUUAGAUACUUCAUAAGUUCCAGCUUCUGCUGAAUUAUUGAUCUCUGUUUAUGUCUUGCCUCCUGUAGCUGCAUUCUUUUAUUCAUUCUCCAUGGACCCAAAUGUAAAACAUAUUUCCUUUCCUCAUUGAUUAAGAGAUGGGGCCCCACUUUGCUGUCCAGCCUUGGUUCAAAACUCCUAGGUUCAAAUGGUCCUCCUGUCUCAGCCUCCUAAAGUUCUGGGAUUACAGCACUGGGGAAGAAGCAUUUCUAACAGGAGCCUGCAUGCUGAGGAUGGCAGAGGAAAAAGACAGAGCCAUACUGAGCCCUUGGAGAUGCCACUGAGGAGCUACGCUAACCAAUCCUGGAGGCACCAUAACCUAGGACUUCUUCUUAUACAAGGAUGCUAGAGAGCAGUCUUCAGCCUGAGACCCAUCUCUAGCUUCUAACAACUCAGUAUACUCCUAUGAACAAAAUUUGGAGCAUAUUUGUUUCUCUCUACCUGAUUUCUUCAGACUGUGGAAACUAUUUGAAUCAAACUUGACUUAUGGAUCCAAUAAAGCCCUUGGAAAAACUGGCCUCAUAUUUUGUGUAAACAGUCCCCGUACAGGGUUUCUGACUUGUGGACAUGAGACUUCACAGCCUGCUAAAAAUAAGCUUUUGGGACCUACCCAUUUAGGAAUAAACAGUCCUAGCCUUGAGAGAUCAGAUGAAAUCUGAGGCCAGAGACUCAUUUUCUUCUAAAAUGCUUUCUCCAAAAGAUUUUUAAAUAGAAAAGAGGGGAAAUGUGAAAGGAAAAUGUCUUCAGCCCCUUCAAGCUGGGAACUCUCAGUACAAAUCUGUCUCUCAUUCUAUUCAAAGUCAUUUCUCUGCUCAGAGAUAGAUGCAUAUUCUGAUUGCCUUCUUUGGAAAGACUUACCAGAAACUCAAAAGAAUGCAACCAUCUGUCUCUCACCUACCUGUGACCUGGAAGCCCAUAGGGUAAAGGGGGCUUGCUUUGAGUUGUCUCUACUUUUCUGAAUGGAAUGAAUGUACUUCUUACAUUUAUUGAUUGAUGUCUCAUGUUUCCCUAAAAUGUAUAAAACCAAUCUGUGCCCCGGCCACCCUGGGCAUGUGUUGUCAGGACUUCCUAAGGCUAUGUCACAGGUGCAUCCUCAACUUUGGCAAAUAAACUUUCUAAAUUAACUGAGACCUCUCUCAGAUUUUCUGGGUUCACUAUUCCUACUUGGAAAAUUGUCGAUAU
rnacentral:lncRNA from 10 species